CCUGGGACCCUUUUCCACUUGGGAGUCCCCAGUGCCUUUUCCUGAUUUCAGAUCGUUUCCUCAUUCUGAUUUGUCAGGCAAUCUUCAUUACCUGGGCCUUUUCCUGAUCUCACCUCUUGGUUCAUGGGGCUGGCCACUUUUCUUCACCAAAACAAAAGUAACAAUGGAGAAUACUACUGUUGACCCUUGGGCAUCAGCAAGGAAGGCAAAAAGCCCUGGUGCAGCUGCUACUGCCCUGUACAGGCAUCAAGAGGGCUGUACCACUGGAGAGAAGCAGCAAGACUGACAUGGCUCCCGCUCAUCCACAGGUCCCCACUGUUCCUGGGCAUCCAGAACUCAGGGAAGACCAGCCAGAGGUACUGGACAGAUACAUAUGCGGAAUUGAUGUACCUGGAGUUUCCACCUUUGUCAUAGCAAAUUUCCAUAUACACAUGAGUCUGUUCCUGGCUUCUUUUUUCUAUCACUGCGGCAAUACCACAACGCAUUGCCUGCCGUAGCAUCACAGUAAGUCUUGAUUUCAAGCAGAGAAAAUCUUUACCCUUUCUUCUUCAAGAGAGUGUGAGUUAUCCUUGGGCCACUGCAUUCCCAUAUAAAUUCUAGAAUGAGUCUGUCAAAUUCCACCAGAAAUUCCCAACAUACCCUUGGAAUUUUCACUGAGAUUGAAUUGAAUUCAUAGAUCAAUUUCAGGAAAAUAUACAUUUUUACAGCAUCAAGUCUUCCUAUUCAUCAGUAUUGUAUACCCCACUCCAUUUCAGUUCAGUUCAGUCACUCAGUUGCAUCCGACUCUUUACGACCCCAUGAACCGCAGCACACCAGGCCUCCCUGUCCAUCACCAUUUAUUUAAGCAUUUAAUUUUUCUUAAAAAUGUUUAUAGCUUUUCCUAUGUAAAUCUUACAUGUCAUUUUUAGAUUUAGAACUAGAAAGUUUUUAUAUUUUUUGUUAUAUUUUUUUAAAUUUCAUAUUCUAAUUCUGCUGCUGAAAAAUAGAUAAGCAAACGAUUGUUUUUUGUUAGCAAUCUUGCUAAUUUUCCCUAAAA
ensembl:lncRNA